rnacentral:rRNA from 1 species
AUUGAACGCUGGCGGCAGGCCUAACACAUGCAAGUCGAGCGAGCGGCGGACGGGUGAGUAAUGUCUGGGAAACUGCCUGAUGGAGGGGGAUAACUACUGGAAACGGUAGCUAAUACCGCAUACCAUCAGAUGUGCCCAGAUGGGAUUAGCUAGUAGGUGGGGUAACGGCUCACCUAGGCGACGAUGCCUAGCUGGUCUGAGAGGCUGACCAGCACCACUGGAAAGUAAACACGGUCCAGACUCCGACGGGAGGAAGCAGUGGGGAAUAGUGCACAAUGGGGGCAAGCCUGAUGCAGCCAUGCCGCGUGUGUGAAGAAGGCCUUCGGGUUGUAAGGCACUUUCAGCGGGGAGGCGUUACCCGCAGAAGAAGCACCGGCUAACUCCGUGCCAGCAGCCGCGGUAAUUC